rnacentral:rRNA from 1 species
UACGAAGGGGGCUAGCGUUGCUCGGAAUCACUGGGCGUAAAGGGUGCGUAGGCGGGUCUUUAAGUCAGGGGUGAAAUCCUGGAGCUCAACUCCAGAACUGCCUUUGAUACUGAAGAUCUUGAGUUCGGGAGAGGUGAGUGGAACUGCGAGUGUAGAGGUGAAAUUCGUAGAUAUUCGCAAGAACACCAGUGGCGAAGGCGGGUCUCUGGGCCGAUACUGACGCUGAGGAGCGAAAGCGUGGGGAGCGAACAGG